UACGUAGGGUGCAAGCGUUGUCCGGAAUUAUUGGGCGUAAAGAGCUCGUAGGCGGUCUGUCGCGUCGGCUGUGAAAACCCGGGGCUCAACCCCGGGCCUGCAGUCGAUACGGGCAGACUAGAGUGCGGUAGGGGAGACUGGAAUUCCUGGUGUAGCGGUGAAAUGCGCAGAUAUCAGGAGGAACACCGGUGGCGAAGGCGGGUCUCUGGGCCGUAACUGACGCUGAGGAGCGAAAGCGUGGGGAGCUAACAGG
rnacentral:rRNA from 1 species